rnacentral:rRNA from 1 species
GUCUGUGCGUUAUAUAUGUAUAGUCUAACCUGCCCACUGAGGUUUUAAAGGGCCGCGGUAUUUUGACCGUGCGAAGGUAGCAUAAUCAGUAGUCCUUUAAUUGGGGGCUUGUAUGAAUGGUUGGAUGAGAUACUAGCUGUCUUUAUUUUAUUAUAAAAUUUAACUUUUAAGUGAAAAGGCUUAAAUUUAUUAGGGGGACGAUAAGACCCUAUAAAACUUUAUAUUUAAAUUCUAAAGUUUAUGAAUUUUGUUUAAGAUGAACUUUAGUUAGGAAUAUUUUGUUGGGGAGAUGAAAAUAUAAUUGUAACUGUUUAUAAAAUAUAACAUAUAUAAAUGUGUUAUGAUCCUUUCUUAGUGAUUAUAAGUAUAAGUUACUUUAGGGAUAACAGCGUAAUUUUCUUUGAGAGUUCUUAUCGACAAGAGUAGUUGCGACCUCGAUGUUGAAUUAAAAUUUUAGUGGGGCGUAGCGGCUUCUCAGGUAGGUCUGUUCGACCUUUAAAAUUUUACAUGAUUUGAGUUCAAACCGGUGUAAG